rnacentral:rRNA from 1 species
UCUUUGGGGGGGGCUACAAUGCAGUCGAACGAUGAUGCCCAGCUUGCUGGGUGGAUUAGUGGCGAACGGGUGAGUAACACGUGAGUAACCUGCCCUUGACUUCGGGAUAACUCCGGGAAACCGGGGCUAAUACCGGAUAUGAGCUACCUUCGCAUGGGGGUGGUUGGAAAGUUUUUCGGUCAAGGAUGGGCUCGCGGCCUAUCAGCUUGUUGGUGGGGUGAUGGCCUACCAAGGCGACGACGGGUAGCCGGCCUGAGAGGGCGACCGGCCACACUGGGACUGAGACACGGCCCAGACUCCUACGGGAGGCAGCAGUGGGGAAUAUUGCACAAUGGGCGAAAGCCUGAUGCAGCGACGCCGCGUGAGGGAUGAAGGCCUUCGGGUUGUAAACCUCUUUCAGCAGGGAAGAAGCGCAAGUGACGGUACCUGCAGAAGAAGCGCCGGCUAACUACGUGCCAGCAGCCGCGGUAAUACGUAGGGCGCAAGCGUUGUCCGGAAUUAUUGGGCGUAAAGAGCUCGUAGGCGGUUUGUCGCGUCUGGUGUGAAAACUCGAGGCUCAACCUCGAGCUUGCAUCGGGUACGGGCAGACUAGAGUGCGGUAGGGGAGACUGGAAUUCCUGGUGUAGCGGUGGAAUGCGCAGAUAUCAGGAGGAACACCGAUGGCGAAGGCAGGUCUCUGGGCCGCAACUGACGCUGAGGAGCGAAAGCAUGGGGAGCGAACAGGAUUAGAUACCCUGGUAGUCCAUGCCGUAAACGUUGGGCACUAGGUGUGGGGCUCAUUCCACGAGUUCCGUGCCGCAGCAAACGCAUUAAGUGCCCCGCCUGGGGAGUACGGCCGCAAGGCUAAAACUCAAAGGAAUUGACGGGGGCCCGCACAAGCGGCGGAGCAUGCGGAUUAAUUCGAUGCAACGCGAAGAACCUUACCAAGGCUUGACAUGCACGGGAAGCCACCAGAGAUGGUGGUCUCUUUGGACACUCGUGCACAGGUGGUGCAUGGUUGUCGUCAGCUCGUGUCGUGAGAUGUUGGGGUUAAGUCCCGCAACGAGCGCAACCCUCGUCCCAUGUUGCCAGCGGGUUAUGCCGGGGAC